ACCCGCUGAGUUUAAGCAUAUCAAUAAGCGGAGGAAAAGAAACUAACAAGGAUUCCCCUAGUAACGGCGAGUGAAGCGGGAAGAGCUCAAAUUUUAAAGCUCCGUGGUUUCCACGGCGCGUUGUAAACUGAAGAGGCGUUUUCUCAUGCGGCCCCGGUUUAAGUCUGUUGGAAAGCAGCAUCAUGGAGGGUGACAAUCCCGUAAAUGGCUGGGUGACCGUGUGUCUACGAUACGUCCUCAAAGAGUCGGGUUGUUUGGGAAUGCAGCCCAAAAUGGGUGGUAAAUUUCAUCUAAGGCUAAAUACUGCCACGAGACCGAUAGCGAACAAGUACCGUGAGGGAAAGAUGAAAAGAACUUUGAAAAGAG
rnacentral:rRNA from 1 species